CAGGAUUUAGAUACCCUGGUAGUCCACGCCGUAAACGAUGUCGACUUGGAGGUUGUGCCCUUGAGGCGUGGCUUCCGGAGCUAACGCGUUAAGUCGACCGCCUGGGGAGUACGGCCGCAAGGUUAAAACUCAAAUGAAUUGACGGGGGCCCGCACAAGCGGUGGAGCAUGUGGUUUAAUUCGAUGCAACGCGAAGAACCUUACCUACUCUUGACAUCCAGAGAACUUAGCAGAGAUGCUUUGGUGCCUUCGGGAACUCUGAGACAGGUGCUGCAUGGCUGUCGUCAGCUCGUGUUGUGAAAUGUUGGGUUAAGUCCCGCAACGAGCGCAACCCUUAUCCUUUGUUGCCAGCGGUUCGGCCGGGAACUCAAAGGAGACUGCCAGUGAUAAACUGGAGGAAGGUGGGGAUGACGUCAAGUCAUCAUGGCCCUUACGAGUAGGGCUACACACGUGCUACAAUGGCAUAUACAAAGAGAAGCGACCUCGCGAGAGCAAGCGGACCUCAUAAAGUAUGUCGUAGUCCGGAUUGGAGUCUGCAACUCGACUCCAUGAAGUCGGAAUCGCUAGUAAUCGUAGAUCAGAAUGCUACGGUGAAUACGUUCCCGGGCCUUGUACACACCGCCCGUCACACCAUGGGAGUGGGUUGCAAAAGAAGUAGGUAGCUUAACCUUCGGGAGGGCGCUUACCACUUUGUGAUUCAUGACUGGGGUGAAGUCGUAAC
rnacentral:rRNA from 1 species